rnacentral:lncRNA from 1 species
CCACCCAACUAAAAUUUCUCAUCUUUUUCCCUCUUUGUUGCUUACGGCCGAGAGCCAAGUCACAACCACCCACCCACUUUCAAAUUCCAUCUUAAUAAACCACAUACACUCAAUUGUGUAAGGUCGCAUACGAGGAGACCCGGUGCUUACAGAAUCGCGAGGACCUCACCACAACGCUAUUAACCACCCGUUUUUCGUCUAGUUUCUUCCCUAGCCUCGAGCUAGUAGUCACGACGCUAGGUAAAGCAAACCCAGUGAAGUUUACGACGCAAGGAACGCAAAGUUGUAACUAGGAUGGAUGUGCGCGUGGUCUUACUUAUGCUCGUGGAUGUCGCUUUGUUUAUCAUAAAAUAAAGUUGUAACUUUUGAGACAAUAUGCUAUCAUGUGUUGUAAACACUUGACUUAUGUUUUCGGUAAUGUAAUGUUUGAAGUUAUUUUCGAGCAUAUAGUGUGUUUACCUUUCGUAUGCAAUGAGAACCAUUCAUAAUCUCACCUCGUGCUUCCACCGCAGAAAGGGGUGUGACACAAGUGGUAUCAGAGCUCAGGACGAGGAGUUCUUGCCAUAUUCAGCUUGAAAAUCUGAUUUUCUACACCUUCUUUCAUAAAAUUGAUAUUUUUCACGGUUAAAAUCGGCUAUUGUGACAACUCGAGUUUCCGACUUUCACUUUCGCAUUUAAUGCACGUUGACUUUGACUGUUGACUGUGACUAUUAGUCGUUUGUUUAUUUGACUUAUAACUGAAACCGUUGUAAUGAGAUAAAGUGCAUUGUGUUUGCAUGAGUAUGUGUUAUUGUGUUGCAUGGUUAUGUGUUUGUUUGUGGCAUGAAAAUUUAACUGAUUAGAUCAUUACGGACCUAAAAGCCCAUUAAGGACCCGACGAAUCAAAUGUGAUUCGCCAUGCAACAACUCGACGAAACAAACACUUGAUCCGUCAAUCCAUUCUCGACGAAACAGAAUGUGUUUUGUCGGCCCAGUUUCGCCGAAAGCCCAUUAACGGCCCAACACAUUACGUAAUUAUAUACCGGACUUCCUGUUCAUUCGUCACUUUAGCAAAACACAAAAACCCUAGAGCUCCUGUGCACUGACGGCAAUUGGUGUGUGUUCCCGAGACUCUCUAGCGAUUAACUCAUCUCUCCAUCCACUCGGUUAGUCGUUUAUGUGUUCAUGAUUUCUUGACUACCCGAUUUAUGUUCGUGAAUAUGCUUGAUUUCUUUAUAUAUGUUAUGCAUGAUUAAUCGGGUACGUAACUUUGUGCAAAACAUGAUGUCGAAUAUAGAUUCUAACAAACAAGUCAUAUUGAUGAGAAUACGUGAUUGGUAGAACUGGAUUUAAUGGUGUUUAUGUCGGGUGUUAUGGUCAUGAAUCUAUCUACGUUUAGCUAACUUACAAAUCAUAUAUUGAUUAGAUGAUGAUUGUAUGAUGAAUGUUUUCUGUAUGAUUACGGUUGGUGAGUGACGGCAAUUAGGGUUUCCUGUGAUAUUGCGUAACUGUUGAAUUGUAACUGAUCUGGUUGACGUAACUGACAUCUUCACGAAACUGAAUCUUUGGCGAAACAGGAAAGGGUGUUUCGCCAAGGGGUAGUUGACGAAACAGCUGGGCUGUUUCGCCAAAGGAUAAUUGACGAAACAGGAAGGGGGCUUCGCCAAGGGGUAGUUGACGAAACAGCUGGGCUGUUUCGCCAAAGGAUAAUUGACGAAACAGGAAGGGGGUUUGGCCAAAGGGUGGUUGACGAAACAGAACAUGUUUCGCCAACCUGUGUUUCGCCAACAAUGUGUUUCGCCAAAUGUAUAAUCUGACUAGUAACUCAGUUUAAUCCUGUUAAAAGUUAACUGGGAUAUUUAACUGCUGUUAAGUAUAGAACAGUACUUGUAUGAUUACGAAUAUGUGCUAUGUGAUACUUGGUGAUUUCUGAUGCGAUGUCUACUAUGAAUAUACUUACGUGCCAACUUCAUGAAUACAAACUGAUUAUGUAUGCAUGCGUACUCUAGGACUUGAUUGAUAAACUGUGAGCACAUACUUAGCAUACCGAGCAAACCAAGGUGAGUUCACACAGCCAAGGCAUGGGAUUCCCAGGGUGGGAAUGGGGUUGGAUGAUUUAUUCGUACAGGCUCAGAUGAUAGAAUUAAAUGAUAUGGUCCUCAGGGUGAGGAAGGGUAAUGAUGAGAUACGACUAGACUAGUAUACUAAUUGAACUGAUCUUCGCACACACUCCAGGGGUUGGUCGCGAUAUUAUGACUAUCAUUCGCACACAUGCCUAGGAAGGCCGCGAACUAUACAUACUAAAACUUCGCACACAUGCCAGGGUGGCCGCGAUACAAAUAUACAUAGUCUAGAAUACUUGAGAACUUUCCCUAAUCUUCGCAUACAUGCCUAGAGGGCUGCGAUACGAACUAAUACGAUACAUGACUUAAUGAACGAACUCAAUGCUUACUAUACCAUUACUAUUACUGAACUAUUAACUGUGAACUCGCUCAACUAGUUGUUGACUCUCUGCUGCAUGCCUUGCAGGACCUUAGGUACUUAUGGAGCUUGCACAAGGAGGAGCAGGUCGUUGUGGGCACGGAUCGUGAAUGUUUCGUUAAAACACUUUAUGACAUUUCGUACUUUAUUAUGUUGGGUUUUAUUUAUACGCUUCCGCUAAACAGUGAUAACAUGCUUAUAUU